UACGGGGGGGGCAAGCGUUGUUCGGAAUUACUGGGCGCAAAGGGCUCGUAGGCGGCCAACUAAGUCAGACGUGAAAUCCCUCGGCUUAACCGGGGAACUGCGUCUGAUACUGGAUGGCUUGAGAUUGGGAGAGGGAUGCGGAAUUCCAGGUGUAGCGGUGAAAUGCGUAGAUAUCUGGAGGAACACCGGUGGCGAAGGCGGCAUCCUGGACCAACACUGACGCUGAGGAGCGAAAGCCAGGGGAGCAAACGGG
rnacentral:rRNA from 1 species